rnacentral:tRNA from 2 species
CCUCCGGUAGCUCAGUUGGUAGAGCGGUGGACUGUAGAUCCAUAGGUCGCUGGUUCAAAUCCGGCCCGGAGGA